CCUACGGGUGGCAGCAGUGAGGAAUAUUGGUCAAUGGACGAGAGUCUGAACCAGCCAAGUAGCGUGAAGGAUGACUGCCCUAUGGGUUGUAAACUUCUUUUAUAUGGGAAUAAAAUGUUCAACGUGUGGGAUUUUGUAUGUACCAUAUGAAUAAGGAUCGGCUAACUCCGUGCCAGCAGCCGCGGUAAUACGGAGGAUCCGAGCGUUAUCCGGAUUUAUUGGGUUUAAAGGGAGCGUAGGUGGAUUGUUAAGUCAGUUGUGAAAGUUUGCGGCUCAACCGUAAAAUUGCAGUUGAAACUGGCAGUCUUGAGUACAGUAGAGGUGGGCGGAAUUCGUGGUGUAGCGGUGAAAUGCUUAGAUAUCACGAAGAACUCCGAUUGCGAAGGCAGUUCACUGGACUGCAACUGACACUGAGGCUCGAAAGUGUGGGUAUCAAACAGGAUUAGAUACCCUUGUAGUC
rnacentral:rRNA from 1 species